rnacentral:rRNA from 1 species
CCCUUAGAUGUUCUGGGCCGCACGCGCGCUACACUGAUGCAUUCAACAAGCCUAGCCUUGACCGAGAGGUCCGGGUAAUCUUUGAAACUGCAUCGUGAUGGGGCUAGAUUAUUGCAAUUAUUAAUCUUCAACGAGGAAUGCCUAGUAAGCGUGAUUCAUCAAAUCGCGUUGAUUACGUCCCUGCCCUUUGUACACACCGCCCGUCGCUCCUACCGAUUGAAUGUGUUGGUGAGGAGCUCGGAUUGGCAGCAGUUGGUGGUUCGCCACCGGCUAUUGCUGAGAAGUCCUCCAAACCGCUCCAUUUAGAGGAAGGAGAAGUCGUAACA